rnacentral:rRNA from 1 species
GAUGAACGCUGGCGGCGUGCCUAAUACAUGCAAGUCGAGCGAACGGACGAGAAGCUUGCUUCUCUGAUGUUAGCGGCGGACGGGUGAGUAACACGUGGAUAACCUACCUAUAAGACUGGGAUAACUUCGGGAAACCGGAGCUAAUACCUGCUAAUAUUUUGAACCGCAUGGUUCAAAAGUGAAAGACGGUCUUGCUGUCACUUAUAGAUGGAUCCGCGCUGCAUUAGCUAGUUGGUAAGGUAACGGCUUACCAAGGCAACGAUGCAUAGCCGACCUGAGAGGGUGAUCGGCCACACUGGAACUGAGAAACGGUCCAGACUCCUACGGGAGGCAGCAGUAGGGAAUCUUCCGCAAUGGGCGAAAGCCUGACGGAGCAACGCCGCGUGAGUGAUGAAGGUCUUCGGAUCGUAAAACUCUGUUAUUAGGGAAGAACAUAUGUGUAAGUAACUGUGCACAUCUUGACGGUACCUAAUCAGAAAGCCACGGCUAACUACGUG